CACCGGUUGGUUGCCUGCAUGUUGCUGCUACGAGAGAUGAUUCCCAGGAUUAGGGGAUCAGAAAAAAGACCCUUCUAAUUUAGAUGCCGAGACAUCAGAGAGACUGACUGAUUUGAGAUGUUCUGCUGUUCAAAUUUGCAUCUUCUUUUUUAAAACCUCGCCCAGCUGGACAAUUCCCAGCGAUUCCAGACUCUUCGGAUACAGAGCGCUGAGCAAAUUAGCUUGCUGCCUGUCAUUCCACCUAUCAGAGAGAAACAGAGGAAGGGUGUACUUUGCCUCCUGCCCAAUGGCUGCUGGAGAUAUGCACCAGCACCGUUUUGCUCUGCAGAGGAAGCACAGGCUAAUUGAUCUCAGGAAUGCAUUCUGGAUCCUGUUCAAGGCUUUCAUGGCGAGUCUGGACCUCAGAGAUAACAUUUUGUCAGCUGCACAUCCAUAGUGUAACUCUUUCAUUCCUCCAAACUGCAAAAGGUGGAGGCCUUUGGACCACAAUGAACUAAUGUCAUGUUAAAGGAUCCAGUUGAUAUUUUUAGCUUUGUGGUGUGGUGCAGUAUUUUGUCAGAAGUAGCCUUAAAAUGAUGAGUAUGCUGUGAUCAUAAAAGGAAAGAGACGAGCAGCAACAAUAUUCAGGUGGGUUUUGGUGUUUGAACGAUGCUGAACUGGUACUAAAUGCCCCAAACGGAGCCAAAACCCAUCGUCCACAUCAUUACACCACCACCAGCUUGAACUGCUGACACAAUUCAGGAUGGAGAAGUGGUUUCAUGAUGUUUGCACCAAUUUUUAAUCCUGACACUCACCAGACCAGAUGCUUUUAAAUGUGUUUUUGCCCAGGUCUGAAUAGUACCUUUCAAUUCCUGUUUUCUCAUGUGGAGCGGCAUUCCUCUGCUGCUACAGCCUGCUAGCUUCAAUGUAUGAUAUUUUUGACUUGAAAAAUAA